UGAUAUCCAUUAAUGGAAAAUUCAUCGCUAAUAUUAUAAUAUAAUAAUUAUAUUGUAAAAAUGGUGUGCAUUUUUUCCAUAAAGGACAUUGUAAUCGGUUAAUAAAUUAAAAGAGUUUAUCAUAAGAUUCAUUUAAAGAGCUUAUUCUAAUUAAAUUUUUUUUAGUUUAAAAUUGAAUAAAUUUUAUGAAUUUGAUAAACUGUUGACCGAUUUAAUUAUAAUAAUGUUAUAAAUUUCUUUGGAAAUUUUACAAUAAUUAUUUAUGUAUUCUUUUUAAGAAUUACAUAUUUAUUUUAUUGUAUGCAUUUUUAUGAUUUACAAUGCUAUAAAUUCAGGAUACCUUCGGGACCCGUCUUGAAACACGGACCAAGGAGUCUAACAUAUGUGCAAGUCGUUGAGUAAUUUAAAUGAAACUCAAAGGCAUAAUUAACUUAACUGGUUUUAAUGGGAUUAGUUUAUGUAUAUUUUUUUUUCUUUAAAAAAAAAAAAAAAUAUGUAAAUUCAAUCCCAGGGCGUUCUAUAUAGUUAUGCAUAAUGAUAUUUAUAUUAUUUAUGUCUCUAAC
rnacentral:rRNA from 1 species